rnacentral:rRNA from 1 species
UAGGUUGAGCCUACGUCGGAUUAGCUAGUUGGUGGGGUAAAGGCCUACCAAAGCGACGAUCCGUAGCUGGUCUGAGAGGAUGACCAGCCACACUGGGACUGAGACACGGCCCAGACUCCUACGGGAGGCAGCAGUGGGGAAUCUUGGACAAUGGGGGAAACCCUGAUCCAGCGAUACCGUGUGUGUGAAGAAGGCCUUCGGGUUGUAAAGCAC